GUAAGUUCAAAAUUUUCAGUGGGACCAAGUUGGGUGGGACAUUUUCUGGUCUGUAGUCAAGAGCAGGGGUCCUGUAGUUUGCCACCUGAAUGAAAGCUUGCCUUCUGAAAAGGGUGCUCCUCAAUCUUGGGCUUUAGCAAAGUUUCACAAUUGCCUCCCUGGAUCUCAAAGCUCUCUUAAAGGCACUUAUUUUUGAGAUGGGGUCUCACUGCAUAACCCAGGUUGGUCUUAAAAUUUUGGCCUGAAGCAAUUCUUCAACCUUACUGUACCAUGUAGCUGUCAUUACAGAUAUUAACCAUGCUGCCUGGUUCUCUCAUUAAGACAUUUUUGUCAUGGAUGACUGACAGACUUUCUUGCUGUUGGGGGUUAAGCAAAUAGGGCACCUUUUUCUUUUUAUCUGCUUCUAAGAGUGUAAAUGCUUU
rnacentral:lncRNA from 10 species